UAAUCUGAUAAAUUAGAUAUUUAUGAUCUACCCUAUUUGAAUGCUUGACACAGCGGCACAUCGGGAUGAUCAUGCAAUUUGUUUAUCACACAAUUCCCACUUCAUUUGUUAAGCUAACUUGGUUUUACGAGCUAGCUGCUUCUACACCCGUAUUGUAUUGCUCGCGUGAUUUGUGAUGUUAACAGUUUGUUUAGUCCAUAAUUUAUUAACGUGAUUGUUUAUAUGCGUGCCAUCUCAGCCACAUCCACCUCUGGUUUGCAUGUAACAUCAAAAUUAGCUGCAAGUUCAGUGUGGUGCAACCACAGACCUAAUACAGGUCUGUGGGUGCAACUAAGUUAGCCUAGCUUUACCAAAGGUGUUGUAUGAUAGUUCUCCCUUUCCAAGGUCUCUGGCUUUUCCAAAUUCGACAUUAGCUCAUUUUGCAUCACUGACACUAACUAAUCAGUAUUAAUGUGUAUUUUGUGUGCAAAGUGCCGUUGAAAAUAUCUGAAAAAGGAGAUCUGAACAGAAAUAAGAGGAGCUAUUAAGUCACACCAACCUAAUUGUCUCUUCUAAGCACAAUCUUCUCGUUGAUUUAAUGCAUGUUAUAUUUUCCAUCCUCUCCACAGAAUAUGACAACAUUGUCUUCAUAUGGCUGUUUGUAUGCAUUAUCUAACUGAAGUUGUGUGUGGUUUUUCUGUUGCACAUUUAAGAAACUUACUAUUUCUUUUGGUCUAAAUCUUACUUUACAGUUUUACGUCUCCAGUUUUCCCUGAGGUCCAAAAUAUUCAGUGGAGUGAAACUGUUGAUGGAAGUACAGUGCAUUACCAGGCGAAUACACCGGUGGCGACAAGAUCAAGCGACAGAGAAUCGCUGGACUGUGCAGCAAGAGUGAUAGAACAGCAAAAUGUAACAAGCUUGUCCUGGAGGACUGCUCUGAUGGGGAAUGCUGUGGAGGAGAGACAGGCAGACUGUGGUCCAUCGUGUGUGCUCCCAGUGCGUUAAUACACGGACAGUCCUUUUUAAGUGCAACCAGAGGAAUAAUGUGAUUGAGAGGAAGAGUGGCCCCAUACAUUGCUUGACCUGGAGCCUACCAAAGUCUAAGGUCUCAGGUAGGCAGCAAUUGUGGGAAUGUUGUUGGAAUGUAUUGUGUGUUGGCGUUACAGGGCAUUCCACUCAUUUCUUUGUGGUUAGACGAUUCAAUGUCAUGAAUGUCAGCCAAAUCACUGGGGUAACAUACUGUA